AGUGGGAGUGGCGCGUGCUUACCAUGCAGUCGAACGGACAUGUCUUUCGGGAUAUGUUAGUGGCAGACGGGUGCGUAACACGUAGGUGACCUGCCCUGGAGUGGGGAAUAACUAUCCUAACGGAUAGCUAAUACCGCAUAUGCUCGGUGAUUCAUUUUGCCGAGUAAAGUCGAAAGGCGCUUCAGGAUGGGCCUGCGGCGGAUUAGGUAGUUGGUAGGGUAACGGCCUACCAAGCCGAUGAUCCGUAGGGGGCGUGAGAGCGUGGCCCCCCACACUGGCACUGAGAUACGGGCCAGACUCCUACGGGAGGCAGCAGUGAGGAAUAUUGCGCAAUGGGCGAAAGCCUGACGCAGCAACGCCGCGUGAGGGACGAAGGCCUUCGGGUCGUAAACCUCUUUUCUGGGGAAAGAGCAAGGACGGUACCUCAGGAAUAAGUCUCGGCUAACUACGUGCCAGCAGCCGCGGUAAAACGUAGGAGGCGAGCGUUAUCCGGAUUUACUGGGCGUAAAGCGCACGCAGGCGGCUUCGUUAGUCGGGUGUGAAAGCUCCUAGCUUAACUGGGAGAGGCCACUCGAUACUGCGAGGCUUGAGGUUGGGAGAGGGGUGUGGAAUUCCCGGUGUAGUGGUGGAAUGCGUAGAUAUCGGGAGGAACACCUGUGGCGAAAGCGGCACCCUGGCCCACACCUGACGCUGAGGUGCGAAAGCGUGGGGAGUAAACAGGAUUAGAUACCCUGGUAAUCCACGCUGUAAACGAUGUCAACUGGGUGUCGGUAGCUUUACGCUAUCGGUGCCGAAGCAAACGCGUUAAGUUGACCGCCUGGGGACUACGGCCGCAAGGCUAAAACUCAAAGGAAUUGACGGGGGCCCGCACAAGCAGCGGAGCGUGUGGUUUAAUUCGAUGCAACACGAAGAACCUUACCCAGGUUUGACAUGGGUCGUAGUAGUGAACCGAAAGGGGAACGAGCCUUCGGGCAGCGAUCACAGGUGCUGCAUGGCUGUCGUCAGCUCGUGUCGUGAGAUGUUGGGUUAAGUCCCGCACGAGCGCAACCCCUGUUGCCAGUUACAUGUGUCUGGGCGAGACUGCCGGGUAUCAAGCCCGGAGAAGGUGGGGAUGACGUCAAGUCAGGCAUG
rnacentral:rRNA from 1 species